GUCAGGAGCCCCAUUGCCUCUCUUUACCCUGCACGUUGUACUUGAAUCCAGUGACGCAAUGAGAGCACGUUGAGUUUCUGAUACAGAACAUUUCUGUGGUCACAGUGAAGGUAGCACUUGAAGAUAUGGAGCAGGAGACUACUGGUCGAGGUGUGGUGCAUUGUGGAUGAUGCAUUGAAGGAAAUCUUGUUCAUACUACUGGCUUUUGGGCUAAAACAUCUACUCCCCAAUUGCUGCAGCUCUUGGAUGACUUAUGGACUUGCCCUUGGCUGAGGAGUGUUGUCUUGGACAGGUCAUUCUCCCUCCAUGGUGGUGACUCUCUUCACCAAAGCCUGGUCCAUGUAAGAGUACAAAGGCUGUUUCUUUCCAAUAUUGGAUGACACUUUAGGGCCAUCCUUGAUUACAGUUUCUUAUGGGAUUAGCUGAGGUCUCUCUUGAGACCACUUAAACAUUCAUCCUCUUCUGCCUUCUACAAAUACUAACACUGUGAUCACACCUAACAGACCUCCUUCACAAGCAUCUACCUCACAGCGUUCUUUGGGGUCCUUCUGAUUGUGCUGUCUUCUACAUCUGCCUAGCUUCACGUUACAUAGAUAAAGAAUCCCAUGCUUUUGAACCUAUAAUAGCAUCAUCAUCUAAAAUAAUGUGACUUAGUAUAUCAUAGAAAGACACUGUUAUUAGAGAUCACUGCUGUGGGACGGUCUGUAUGUCAAAUUGCUCUGAUUGGUCAAUAAAUAAAACACUGGUUGGCCAGUGGCCAGGCAGGAAGUAGGUGGGACA